UUCGCACCUCAUGCAUCUUAUUUAUUAUAUUUAUGUGGUUGUGAAUUAUUAAAUGUGUAUAUAUAAUUGUGUGGUGUAAAAAGGAAAAGAAAAUAAAAGAAAAAUAAAUUAGUUUUGGUGGUGGGACCCACCACCACUUAAAGUGGCAAAAGGCCACCAUUGGCCUCACAAAUUCUCUCUCUCCCGUAAGUCUCUCCCUCUCUCUCCUCCUAUUUCUAGAGUUUUUCUUUUUCUUUUGGUUUCAAUCUUUAAACUUAGAUUUCUCCCUUAAUUUUUGAUAUUUUUAGGAGCCGUUUACGACAAAACGGAAAGUGCGUCGAGAUCUUCGAUUUGAUUGGAGCAAAGGUGGUUUUAGUGCACCCUAAGAAUUUCGAAUUCUAGGGUUUGGAUUGGGCAAAUUGGGGGUUUUUGCAAUUCUUGAGGUCACGAGAAGGAAGUAGCGGACGACGCCGCUCCACAGGUCUUGAUGGGCAUAAAUAUAUGAUCAAGUUUUUCAACCAGCACAAUCAUCCACAUUUUCUACAAUCAAACAAUUCACCUGUCCUUCAUUUUGCAAAGAGCCAAUCCUUAAGAGAGAAGGGGUAUCCGAUUACCUGGUGUUCUCCAAGCUAAGCAAAUUCUUCGCCAAUCUCUUCUGACUACAGGUUCAGUAGCUUCAAAAGAAGUAUAGGCUGGGAGAAGAGGAUUCAAACCUAGGAUCAUAGGAUGGGGCACUUAAAAAUGUUGUUAGUGAAAUAUAAAGUUUGAUAAAUUAGUAUGUAAACAUUUUUUGUAAAUAUUUUUUUUCAAUAUAUGUUUACCUCUAUAUGGAAAAGUUUCAAUUUUUAACUUCGACUAUAAGCUCUCCUGAGUCAAAAUUUCUACAAUUAAAAUGCCUUGUUUUUUGUUUUAUUUUAUUUUUUUAUUCUAUCAAACAGAUCUAAAAGAAUUUUCAAAUGAAAAGGCUUUUAAUCUCUCCAACAGUAAUGCCAUAAAAUCAUUUCCUGCACUCAAAUGGUAGUAUUCUAUACUUCAUUCCAUUCCCAUCUUACGAAUAAAUUUACAAUUGAAUUUUACAUAUCAUAUAGACUCUAUUUGAUACAUAAAAUUUGGAUGAAAUCAAAUAAAAUGUGAAAAUGUUUUUUUUUUUUUUUUAAAUAAUGUGAUAUUUAAUAGUGCUUGGCGUGACACUAGAUGAAGAACUGGGUAUGGCUCUGAUACCAACUGUAACGGGCGGGUGCUUUGCGAUCCGACCCAAAAGUUUAAAUUGUUAUGUGAGGCUAACACCCAACCUAUAUAUAUCCAUUCACUUUUCUAUCCAGAUCCAAUGUGGGACAAGUCCCCACUUGUAACACCACCCCACCAUACUUGCAAAGAUAAUCCUUUUGAUUCUCGUGAAUAGGGCUAUAACUUGCGUGGGUUGAAGGUACAACUCAAACCCAACAUAACAUAUACAAUAUUCAUGAUUCGUCGUAUCGCCCGAUACGCGGCAUAUCGUUUGAUUCGUAACUCUUUUCCAAAGGUCCGAUACCGUUAAAUACCCUCAUGAGCCAGCCGGUUCAACCAGUUUAGACCGAUAUUUACCCAAGUCCGUUACAUCACGACCGCGAACCAUGACAAUAUUUAACUUUAAUUUGACUUUCAACUCUAGCUAAGUACUAUUCAAUCUAAGCACAAUCAAUCUUUGAAUUUUUAAACUCGAAUUUGUAACUUUGGUUGGAAAUUCAGGCUGGAAAAUCGAGUUAAUUCGAAUUAUUCAUAUGUCCAAUCUACAUUUGAAAAUUUAAGGUGUUCUUUAGUUAGUUUAAGAUUAAAUUACUCAUAAGCAAAAAAGUAGAAAUAAAAAAAAAUAAAAAUAAAAAAAAAAAAAAAAA